UGGCUGGACUUGAUGAUCUUAAAGGUCUUUUCCAAUCUAAAUGAUUCUAUGGCUUCACAUGAUGAUAGUGUUACGGUUACUAUGAAGCACUACUUAAGAUGUCUUCAGUUUGGGAAACACUUUGUGUUUGUCUGUUUGUUUGAGAGUAGAUU